rnacentral:lncRNA from 1 species
UUCCUUCAUCUCCACUUCAACACACAAAAACCCAAACUCUUCCAUUCCCAAAACAACCCUUCGCCACUGUUCUGACGCAUCCCUCAUCUUCUCACCGUCUGCGACACCGGCACUUUAACGCAACCGUAAACCACCAUCACACCGGCCGAAUUCCUCAUCAUUCCCUCAAACCUUCUUUCUUCACUUACAAAAACAUAAACAAAAUCCUCAAAACCCCAUUCAACCCACUGCUGAAAAAAAACUCCGUACUCUAUUUCAACAUUAACGACACAACAACAUUAACGUUACCAAUUGUCACUCGCGUCAAAAAUAGCAACACCAAUACGAAUCGUACAACAACCACACACCGUUUUCC